GCAGGUGUGCCGGAGCGGUCAAACGGGAUAGACUCAAAAUCUAUUGGCUUAGUGCCUACGAAGGUUCGAACCCUUUCACCUGCA
rnacentral:tRNA from 1 species